AUCUCCUCAUCUAAGAUUACCUAAAGUAUAAGUGAAGCCCGGCCCAAUAGAAAACAAAGCACCCGGCCUGCUAAUCCUGCUAGUAUAUAAACACACCCCGAUCAAAAACGUCUCUGCGCACGGCGUCGCCACGAGCAACCACUCUAAUCCCGAGGCGGUGGCGCCGUCGCCGUCGGCAGGCUCAACAUCUCAAGAGAUUUACUUCAUGCUCGGAACAAAAGUGCCUACGAAUCCGAAUGCAAUAGUGAAGAAUGCGCCUGAUUGCAAAAACAGAUAUACAAACAUGUGAUCGUUGCAAUAUUGCAUGUUGUAGAGCGCACAGUAGAGCAUGAAUACUCCCAUCACCAGCUCCAGCUUAUGAAUCCUGGUCAAAAACAAUAUACAAGUUACAAGCCAGAAUGACAUGAGUAUGGCCGGUUGGCAGUUUGGAUGCACUGUUUCCAAGUUUAAAAAUUGCGAAGUAGCAGUAACUAAAUCAUACCUUUCUCCGCAUCGGAAUCUGGAUUUGAAAAAGGACACUUUGGAUUUAUUGCUUUGGUUCGUGUUCCCUAGCUUCUCGGUGACAAUCCAUUCAUUGACCCUGCUUGCCUCUAGGAGGCCAAUGAUGGCUGCCUUGGUCCGAUGAAGGGACAUUACAUUUUCGAACAAAAUCCAGAAAACGAGCAGUGUUUAAGAUGGUGAUGGUUGCGGGGAUGUAAAUGGCCAAUGCCUUUGGGAGAUGGACUUCCGGAACCAGAACACAGGCUGGAAUGACCAGACAGUAAAAAAAGAAGGUGACCCAGUGUGCAAUGAUCUUCCUAACAAAGAAAAAGGCAUAGAUAAGGUGGAUCUUCUUCCAGACAGACACACGCUGCACAACAAAACAAGUCGAAGUGAAGCUAUUUUUACCGGGCAAAGCAUGAUUUCCUUUGUCAUUUUCUUGAAAAGAUUAGCUGGACCACAUGACCAACGGUGCUGCUGGAAUCGGUAAGCCUUGAAGGUGCUCGGAAGUUCAUUCUUUACCUAAUAUAUUGAGAUGAAAAGUUCUAAGGUUGUGGUAUCACCGGCCAAAAGAAAAUAAUUAGAUGUUGAAAUAGAAAUUACCGACACGUCUCCCACAAAGACAAACUUCCAACCCUGUAAACUGGCUCUGACUGCAAGAUCCAUGUCCUCUACUGUGGUCCGCUCUUUCCAUCCACCUGCAUCCUUGAUUGCUCGAAUCCGCCAUACACCAGCAGUACCUACCAACACAACAGAUCAAGAACUUCAUUAAGGUAUCUGGACCAGUAAUUUCGGAUGCGAUCCAUUUUUCUCCAUCCGUUGUAGCACGAGUUCUACGUUGUACUGUGUAGAUCUUUUCUUUCCCAGCACUUUAACGCAUAAGAUCACAGCAGUCAUGUAGAGCCGUUCGACGAAAAGCAUGAGAGACAUAGCCACACAUGCCCAAAGUGCAAUAUAUAGAAACGGCGCAACAAGGUUCACACGUAUUUCCUUCCAAAGAUCACAGAGGCUUCCUGUGAUCUCUGUCUUAUGAAAAAUUGUAUUCCUCAUAGUUUUUGAUGUGCUGUUGAAAAAAAGAACUGAACUGCCGGGCUUAAAGGAAGAAAGAAAGAAGAGAUAAGAAACAAGAAAGAUGUGGUUCUUCGGAGAUGAGAGAGAUGGAUAACUACGAAGUGCUUCGUAUGGGUAUUGUGGUUUGGCGGAUGCAUAAUAAGCUUUAUAUAGGAAAGCUUCAAGGUAAAGAUGAGGAUGAAUUGUAUAAGAGAAGUGUACCACUGAAAUUGAACUCUGCGUUUGUGAGGACACCCGGAGGACAUGCAAGUAUUGAUACUGCAACGUAUCAACAUCUUAGCUGGAGAGCUGGCAUUUACUGCCGACAAUAAAAGGAAGCCUUAAAAUCGCUAAUCCAAGGUUUGUUAUGAUAUAUCAUUACUGGGAAAGCAGGGCUGGCAGCUUCUGGUUCAUGAGAAUUCUCUUGCUCGGCAUAUUUACUUGGCCUUUUAUUUUCCUGCCAGAUCUUUUUUGACUGCCAUGUUGGUGGCAAAAAUCAAGUCUAUUUGUCAAAGCAUUCUUGAUUCUCAGAGUCUUAUUGAAGCUGGUGCUAGAGUGCGCAUUGAUUAAGUUAUUGGGAUUGAUGAUCUUAACUUCCCUUGGCUGCCAUUUGCUGUUAAUUCUUUUGUCACUUUUGAGUCGGGAUUGUUUGGCUGCCAGGUUGGAAUAGCUAUUGAACCGAUAAAAAUGUAGUGGGAGACCCUUUCCGUGAUGAGGAGAUGGAACUUAUAAUAAGUAUUCCGCUAGACUCUUCUGUUGUCACCAAAAAUUUGUUCUGGAAGAAAGAAAUGCCUUGUUUUUACAGAGUCUAGAUUGCUUUUAAGUAUUUAAAGGAGCUUUGGGGAGACCGGGAUGUUUAUAUGGAGUCUGAUAUUUGGAGCUUAUUAUAUACAAAUAAUAUUCCGCCCAAAGUGUUAUAUUUUAUAUGGAAAUUCAAUCACUUUUCUGCCUGCGGCCAUCUGCAACCAAAUCAUGUUUUGGUUUAGUUGGUUUGUCUCUUCUGUCACACGGAGGUGGAAGCGAUUUCUCAUGUCUUGCUUGUUUGCCCACUCCUGCCGUUGGCACAGAUCUGCCGUGGACAUGCAUCCCCUGAAUUUCGUUAAAAUUCAAGGAUUGGUUCAAGUAGUUAUUGUGUUCGGGAUGAUUUGAAAGGCUAGGAUUGACAUGUUGGGAAGGAAGAAGUGCAUUUUAUUGUGUAGAUUUCUCGGUGUGUCUGGUUUUGAUUAAUAGAAGCACGCUCAAACUCGAAAAUUUGAGCCAGUCUUAGUUCCAUUCGUUUUCAAGUUAAAGAGUCGUGAGAGAUGGACCAAACCGGCUACUGAGAUUAUCAAAAUAAGCAUCAAUGGAACUAUUUUUAAGCUGACUAUGCGUGUGGUAUGUGCUGGCCUUCUACUUUGGGACCACAAUGGCCAAGUGGUCGAGGCUAUUGCUUUGCGUAGCUUUGGCUGUGAGCCUCUGAUCGACCAGAAAUUGCGAAGGUCAUUACCAUUAUAGAAGCUUUACUGGUUGCAAAGGUCAAGAAACUGCUGGCCGCAUUACUGUUGGAGACUUAUUGCUUGAUGGGUUUUCAGAGGCUGCAGAGAUUGUUUCCAAUGCCUACACUGUUAGAUCUACUGGUUCAUGAUUGCAAGGUUUCUACUGUAUUUGUUAAGGUUCAAGUUGCCAAGUGAUCUGCAAAAGUUGUCUUGCUCGGGGCUCUCGUUUAUGGUAGGAUUGUUUUUAUUCUGCCAGUAGUGUUUAUGGGUUUGUUCUGCCAGUAGUGUUUAUGCUGCUGUGCAUUGUAUUGUAAGUUGUAACAACUGAUUUGGUUGUCUGGGUGACGUUUCCUCCUUUAAAAUAAAUCAGGUUUGUUGAUGUAUAAAAAUAUAAUUAAGAACAAA